AUGAACGCUGGCGGCGUGCUUAACACAUGCAAGUCGAACGAUGAACCUCACUUGUGGGGGGAUUAGUGGCGAACGGGUGAGUAACACGUGAGUAACCUGCCCUUGACUCUGGGAUAAGCCUGGGAAACCGGGUCUAAUACUGGAUACGACCUUCUGGCGCAUGCCAUGUUGGUGGAAAGCUUUUGUGGUUUUGGAUGGACUCGCGGCCUAUCAGCUUGUUGGUGGGGUAAUGGCCUACCAAGGCGACGACGGGUAGCCGGCCUGAGAGGGUGACCGGCCACACUGGGACUGAGACACGGCCCAGACUCCUACGGGAGGCAGCAGUGGGGAAUAUUGCACAAUGGGCGCAAGCCUGAUGCAGCGACGCCGCGUGAGGGAUGAAGGCCUUCGGGUUGUAAACCUCUUUCAGUAGGGAAGAAGCCGGUCUUUUGGGUUGGUGACGGUACCUGCAGAAGAAGCGCCGGCUAACUACGU
rnacentral:rRNA from 1 species